CCACGAAUACUGUAUUCAGAACACAAAUCGCCUUCUUCAGUACAAUCUACUUCAACCAAAGAGAUACCGUCCUUCUCCAACUCAUCAGCAGCUGACUCAUACUCAGGAGCCAAUGCCUUACAAUGACCACACCAAGGAGCAUAGAACUUUACCAUUAAAACCUUGUCUGCAGUGAUUAACUCAUUCAAACCUUCUUUAUUUACUUUGGGAACUUCAGCAGAGGCACAAAAGAAUCCUCCAGAGAAAGCCAAAA